rnacentral:rRNA from 2 species
AGCUCCAAUAGCGUAUAUUAAAGUUGCUGCAGUUAAAAAGCUCGUAGUUGGAUUUCUGGCCUGGCGUGCCUGGCCCGCCAGCGUUAGCUGUGUGAGUGUCGGGACGCGCCUGCCAUCCUUCUGGAGAACAUACGUACCUUUCAUUAGGCCGCGUAUGCCAUCCAGAUCUUUUACUUUGAAAAAAUUAGAGUGUUUAAAGCAGGCUUUUGCUAUGAAUACAUUAGCAUGGAAUAAUAAUUUAGGACUUCGGUUCUAUUUUGUUGGUUUCUAGAACUGAAGUAAUGAUUGAUAGGGAUAGUUGGGGGUGCUAGUAUUCAGUGGCCAGAGGUGAAAUUCUUGGAUUCACUGAAGACUAACUUAUGCGAAAGCAUUCACCAAGGAUGUCUUCU